UGUUUUUAAUUGCCUUUGGCUACGACAAACCCUCUAUGACCAUUGGUCUUUUGUCCAGCCACUUAUAUCUGCCUAUGGGGCGGUGGUUCUUGGAUCUCUAGAUGCUCCCGCUGCUAAUGCAUAUGUGAAUACUGAUAUUAGCCCUGAGAAUGCUAUGAUCCAGUGACAGGAGAUCAAAGUAAAGGUCUUGAUUAUUUGGUCGAAGCAAGCUGCAGAUGUUGAGUGAACGUGCUACUUUCGCUGUUGUAUGUAAAAGUCAGGCAAGUUAAUGGUCAGA